CCUGAUCACGGGAGUGUCUGCGCGGGGUGGGUGCUGCUUGCUGCAGGCUCGAGGGAGUCGCCAUGCCUACAACACAGCAGUCGCCUCAGGAUGAGCAAGAAAAGCUCUUAGAUGAAGCCAUACAAGCUGUGAAGGUCCAGUCAUUCCAAAUGAAGAGAUGCCUGGACAAAAACAAGCUUAUGGAUGCUCUGAAACAUGCUUCUAAUAUGCUUGGUGAACUCCGGACUUCUAUGCUGUCACCAAAGAGCUACUACGAACUUUGUAUCUUUUGAAUGUAGAAAUAUUUGACUGUACUUCUUGAUGGCAAAUUUUGUUCUUUAUUAAAUUUUUCUGG